rnacentral:tmRNA from 1 species
GGGGACGAAUGGGUUCGACAGGGGAGCGCUGAAUCGGGAUUGCAGGCCGAGGUUGCUAUCACCUCGUUAAACAGGUAGCAAAAUACAACUGCCGAAGCAGUUCCAGUCGCAGCCUAAAUAAGGCAGCCGUCUGACCCCAUCUCACCCCGAUGGGUGGGAAUCAGGCGUCGAAAUGUCGGGGUGCGGCGUGCCCGAUUCUGAUAGGGAGCGUCAAAGAAAAACUCAGAUUGUCCUGCCGCAGUUGGUCGGUUCCGGACGGCGGGAUGAAAAAAACGAAGCCGGAUAAACCUGUAGCAUAUCUCGGGCGGUCUUCUUCUGGACGGGGAGUUCAACUCUCCCCCGUCUCCACCA